AUUGAACGCUGGCGGCAGGCCUAACACAUGCAAGUCGAGCGGAUGAAGGGAGCUUGCUCCUGGAUUCAGCGGCGGACGGGUGAGUAUUGCCUAGGAAUCUGCCUGGUAGUGGGGGAUAACGUCCGGAAACGGGCGCUAAUACCGCAUACGUCCUGAGGGAGAAAGUGGGGGUUCUUCGGACCUCACGCUAUCAGAUGAGCCUAGGUCGGAUUAGCUAGUUGGUGGGGUAAAGGCCUACCAAGGCGACGAUCCGUAACUGGUCUGAGAGGAUGAUCAGUCACACUGGAACUGAGACACGGUCCAGACUCCUACGGGAGGCAGCAGUGGGGAAUAUUGGACAAUGGGCGAAAGCCUGAUCCAGCCAUGCCGCGUGUGUGAAGAAGGUCUUCGGAUUGUAAAGCACUCUAAGUUGGGAGGAAGGGCAGUAAGUUAAUACCUUGCUGUUUUGACGUUACCAACAGAAUAAGCACCGGCUAACUUCGUA
rnacentral:rRNA from 1 species